rnacentral:rRNA from 1 species
UACGUAGGGUGCGAGCGUUGUCCGGAAUUAUUGGGCGUAAAGAGCUCGUAGGCGGUGUGUCACGUCGGCCGUGAAAACCUGCAGCUUAACUGUGGGCGUGCGGUCGAUACGGGCAUCACUGGAGUUCGGCAGGGGAGACUGGAAUUCCUGGUGUAGCGGUGAAAUGCGCAGAUAUCUGGAGGAACACCGGUGGCGAAGGCGGCAUCCUGGACCGGCAUUGACGCUGAGGCGCGAAAGCCAGGGGAGCAAACGGG